AUAGACGCAAGCAUCUAAUUAACUCAUGCCGGAAAAAUCGACGUAAAUGCGCGUUAGAUAUCACUGAUAUCAGGCAGUGUCUUACAAAUUACAAUAUUUUUCCAGCCAUACAUAAUUUAUCGAACGAACGAGCGAAGAGAAGUUCUAUAUAGGGCUUUUUGACUGAACUAUCAUAGGAUACUUUGUUAGCCGAUAUUUUCCUCGAGUUUGUAAGGGGUUAUUACCUUGCAUUGAAGACGAAAGAAUACCACCAAGGACGACCCAGGACAGACGCUCCUGCCGACGCCGUAUAAGGAGAGCCGACCCCAAGUAAAUGGGAUAAGGCUAGGAUGAAGAAGAAGAGUACAUUUUGUUCUUUGCAUAUCGCGCAACGCUCAAGAUUCAUCUUUUUGGAUUCAUUCGUUAGGCCAAGGUCUCAAUAUUAGCGCGAGUAGUAAAUAACAAUUUUGCUCCCUGAUUAAACAAAUAAAUAUUUUCAUAAU